CCCCUAGACGUUCUGGGCUGCACGCGCGCUACAAUAAUACGCACAGCGAGUAUCACCGAGCUCGAAAGGGCAAGGUAAACAAUAGAAAAGGAACUGUAAUGGUUAUAGAUCCUUGUAAUUAUUGAUCUUCAACGAGGAAUUCCUAGUAAGUAUGUGUCAUCAUCACGCACUGAUUACGUCCCUGCCCUUUGUACACACCGCCCGUCGCUCCUACCGAUUGAGUGAGCCGAUGAAACUGCCGGAUGUGGACUAUUCAUAGUCUGCAGAAGAUAUUUGAAUCGUAGCGCUUAGAGGAAGGAGAAGUCGUAACA
rnacentral:rRNA from 1 species